AUUGAACGCUGGCGGCAUGCCUUACACAUGCCAGUCGAACGGCAGCACGGGUGCUUGCACCUGGUGGCGAGUGGCGAACGGGUGAGUGAUACAUCGGAACAUGUCCUGUAGUGGGGGAUAGCCCGGCGAAAGCCGGAUUAAUACCGCAUACGAUCUACGGAUGAAAGCGGGGGACCUUCGGGCCUCGCGCUAUAGGGUUGGCCGAUGGCUGAUUAGCUAGUUGGUGGGGUAAAGGCCUACCAAGGCGACGAUCAGUAGCUGGUCUGAGAGGACGACCAGCCACACUGGGACUGAGACACGGCCCAGACUCCUACGGGAGGCAGCAGUGGGGAAUUUUGGACAAUGGGCGAAAGCCUGAUCCAGCAAUGCCGCGUGUGUGAAGAAGGCCUUCGGGUUGUAAAGCACUUUUGUCCGGAAAGAAAUCCUUGGCCCUAAUACGGUCGGGGGAUGACGGUACCGGAAGAAUAAGCACCGGCUAACUACGUG
rnacentral:rRNA from 1 species